rnacentral:lncRNA from 1 species
AGAUUCAAAGAGGCUGGAACCUACCUCUCCUGCUGACUGUGAAUGAAGACUGCAGUAUAUUCAGCUACAAGUCCAUCUGCUCUUUAACUUUUUUUUUUAAAUUCUAUCUAAGAGUGUUUUUCCUUUGAAGUUUCUAGCACCAUUUAUGAAGGCUCAAAAGGAGUAUUAUUCAUAUGUUUCAGAUGAGGAAAGCUAAACUGUCAAAGUAACAUCUGACUUGAGAGUAGCCAGUAUUCUCCAAGGCAUCAGCAUUUAAGAGGACCUGAGAAAAGAUCCUGUGCCUACCAGGAAAUUUCACUGAUCUCAUCAAGCCACAAAACUCAGGAAGGAGGAAAAAUCUGCACAAAUUAAGAAGUGCCCAGUAGAUCAUGCUGUCUUGUUGAAAACUCCAGUGGUAACUGGGCUUCUAUGGGAUUAUUUUUAGCAGUAAAAGAGUAGAUGGUGUAAGAUAAGUGAAGAGGGAUUCCAUAAAUAGCUGCAUUUCAAUUGCCUGUUUGGCAUCAUCUAAUUGUUACAACAAACAGCACCAAAUGACAAAAAUGAACACCUUUCUACUCAGAAGAUAAACUGUUUUUAAAUAGAAAGGAAUGAAACCUAGGUCUAUCAUUUUUAGAAUCCCAGUGAACUAAAAUGGACAGGACUGGAGAAGCAGAGACACCUGAGCAGCUUUGAAGACAUUUCUCUGGCGUGUUCUUACUGACUCUGAGACCUAUUUCCAACCACAGUGUCUGCUCAUCCUAGUGCAGCACCCUUCAGACCUACCUUCCCCAUAGGAUUCAGCAGACAUGGUUGAGCAAAGAGCUAAGCACAAGCUGGAUCUGCUCUACUCUGCCCGCAGCCUUGGUAAGGCAGAGCAUCACAGGAAGAGGAAAGCGAAUUCCUGUGAUACAAGUACUGGUGCAGAGGAGGGGGGAAGACAAGACUUGAUCAUAUAAGGAAGAGUGAGGCAGGUUCCUAAGUAAAGCUGUGAGACAACAAGAGAGAGGCACAGUUGUGUUGUUAUGCAUAGAAGGCCAGAGUUGAGUCUGGUUUCUUGAGGGUGAUGUCCUGGCAAGUACUCUGGCACACAUGCUGUAGUAUAGUGUUCCAGUGCAUCCGUACAUCCAUCUAUGCUGCAAAUGGCACGGG